UACAGAGGUCCCAAGCGUUGUUCGGAUUCACUGGGCGUAAAGGGUGCGUAGGCGGCGCGGUAAGUCGGGUGUGAAAUCUCGGGGCUUAACUCCGAAACUGCAUUCGAUACUGCCGUGCUUGAGGACUGGAGAGGAGACUGGAAUUUACGGUGUAGCGGUGAAAUGCGUAGAUAUCGUAAGGAAGACCAGUGGCGAAGGCGGGUCUCUGGACAGUAACUGACGCUGAGGAGCGAAAGCGUGGGGAGCGAACAGG
rnacentral:rRNA from 1 species